rnacentral:rRNA from 1 species
AACGACUCUCGACAACGGAUAUCUCGGCUCUCGCAUCGAUGAAGAACGUAGCGAAAUGCGAUACUUGGUGUGAAUUGCAGAAUCCCGUGAACCAUCGAGUCUUUGAACGCAAGUUGCGCCCGAAGCCAAUAGGCCGAGGGCACGUCUGCCUGGGUGUCACAU